AUAGAAAAAAAAUUAAAUGAAAAAAAAAUUUCUUAUUUAUGGCUAAUAUAAGUGUAUAUAUAAAAUAAUAACACAAAAAACAUGUUGGAGAUAAAGUAUUAAAAAAAAAAUUGUUCUCCAACCCCUAACCCUCUCUCUUUUCUUGCUGUCGUCCCUUGACAGCUCUUUUUUUUUUGAAUGAAGGUUAGAAAAAGGUUAGUAGAAAUGAAUUUGAUUUACGUUAUAUAUUAUUCAUACUAAAAAAAAUGUGUCGCAUUUCUGUAUCAUAUUGUAUGUAAAAAUUGCUGAGCCUCUUUUAUUUUUGUUAGUUUGCAGAAAGUGUUUCCUUUAAGUGUUCGUUUAUAUUACGUGAUCAGUCUUUCUAUAGUCUUUCUCGAGUUCCGAGCUAUAUUACAAAAUUUUCUUUCCUUUGUUAUUUGUUCGAAGUUCCUUUGUUCAAUUAUUUAAUAACUUAUGUCUUCCCAAUCUUUUUCUUUCGAUUCUUACGUGAUGGCCCUUGAAUUGGCUAGGAGUGGCGUGGUGGAUGCGGCGGGUUUUUUAGUUUGGAAGAGGUUCGAGCUGGAGAAAUUGCAGUCCGAUAAAGUGUUGAGUGGCUGUCGUGGGUAUGUAUUUUGUUUAAUUACUUCCUUUCCCUUUUUUUUUUUUUUUUUUUUUUUUUUUUUUUUUUUUUUUUUUUUUUUUUUUUUUUUUUUUUUUUACAUAAAAUGUUUUACGUUUAUUUAAUUGUGAUUUUACUUAAAACGAAAAAAAAAUUGUUUUAGGGUUCAAAUUUUUAUACCUGAGUGGGUAGAUGCUCCAGCUAGAAACCCUUCCUUCUCUAAAUGGCCUGUGGAUUUGGUGGGUAUGCGGAAAGCAGUAAAAAGCGAUGUGGGGGAGGUUAUUUGGCGCCAAGAGUACCGUUGGAGUUGGGUGAAAAAAAAAUACCAAUACCGUGGCUAUUGGGCGCCUGCCUCUUUUGAACACCCCACCUUGUGUACAGUUCCGGAUACCUUGGAAAUUGAGGAGAUACAGGGCUGUUUGGGUGUCAAUAUCUCCAAUUAGUGAGUAUUCUAAAUUUCUACAUUUAAAUUUUCGUUAAAAUUAAAUUUAAAUUUAAUUUAAAUUUAAAUUUAAAUUUUGCUUGAGUUAAUAUACCUAAAAAAAAUAAAAUUUGAUUCUCAACUUAAAUAUUUUUCCCUUUUGUUUUUACAGUCCUUAUUCCCAUUUGCCCGCUUUUCCAAGGACUUAUGGGCCACGUCCUACUGAUCCGGCAUUAGAAUUAAUCUAUUGUCAAAGAUACCGAGAAGAGUGGGAAGAUCUUGUUUUAGUGGGCAGUAGGUGGGAGACGGUAAGUUCCCCCCCCCUUUUUUUUUCUUUGCUUUACAAAAUUUUGUUAAAAUAAAAAAAUAAAAUGUUUUUCUCUUUUGUUUUGUUUUUUUUUUUUCAGAGAUGGGCUUUACGCAUGCCGGUCAUCUGGCAUGAGUGUUAAUUUUAGUUAUUUAUUUAUUAUUAUUAUGUAUUGUAUUUUAAAACAAACUUCCGCUUUUUCUUAAUAAAAAAAAAUCUUUCACGUUUUUAGAAUUAAAUAUAACAUUAAUUAAUAAACAAUAUUGAGUUUUUAUUGAUGAUUUUAAUAAAAAUUAAUAAUUGCAAUGUUCGUCUUUUUCUUUUGUGUUCUAUACCCCCUUUCUUUUUUUUUAUUUUUUUAGAAAAAUUAAACAACAAAAAAAAAUUUUUUUUUAAAUAAAUAAAAGAACGAAAGUUCGUUUGUUUUCAUGGUUAGUGUGCUGUUUAAAGUUGUGGUUAUUUUACUAUAUAUCUUUUCUUUCAGUAAAAUUUAUUAAUAUAUAUUAAAAAAAAAAACGAUAGGUUUUUUAAUAAUUUUUUUUUUCUAAAUAAUAUCCUUAUAAAUAAAUAAAUAAAAAAAAAUACGCAAAAAAAAACUUGUUGUCUGAUAAUUGAAAUAUCUUUGCCGCUCUCUUUUAUUUUCUGUGCUACCUAUAGUACUUGCGUACUUAUGGUAAGCCAUUAGGCUUUACAUUGUUCAGCAAUUAAUCCUCGCGGUGGCAGCAUCUUGCAGCCCGUCGCGGUUUCCUUCCCCCUUCGUUUCUACCUCCUUCUAAUCCCUGUUUCUUUUUCCCUUGUUUCGCUUCCGCGCGGUCCUAGCGGCACGCAAUAAUUAUUUCGCGCUUCAUUUUUUCUUUUCGUUUUUUUUUUUUUUUUUUUAGUGAUUUGUGUUUUUUUUUUUUUUGGUGUUUGUUCUCUCCCUUUUGACAGUGUAAAGUGGUUAAAACAAAGUGUAUGUGUAGUGUAUUUACUCUAAGUCCGCCCUUCCCCCCUUCGUCCCUUCGUUUCGAAGUGUUUACUGUAAAAAAAAAAAUUUUUUUUUUUAUAUGGAUUACGUUGGAUUAUUUAUUUAACCUGUGUCUCAUGGAUUAGUUCCAGAGUUACAACAUCGUAUGAUGAGUUCCCCUGCCUCCGGCUCUAGUGAUUUGGAGUUUGUUUCCCUUUUCCGCCGUGAGGACAUUGUUUGGCCCGAGGUAGAGAUUGAUUCCACUUGUAGUGAAAUCAGUGACGCCUCUACUUUACCCUUACUCACUAGUACCCCUGCCCAAAGUGAAAUACCGGACACUCCUGCUUCCCCUGAUCCUGUAUUUGAGGCGUAUUUUGACGCCCAUGCACGACCUUAUAGCCCAGCCCCCCUUUCUACUGGUGUUGAAUCUGUUGGAUCUCGCUUGACACGAGACAGCUCCACCCAGACCAACCCCUAUUUUCCGGAGGGUUUACCUUUGGAAGGCCAUCUUUAUAGUAUUCCGGCGCUCAGUUCAGCUGAACAUUUGCUGAACAGUGAUCUCCCUCUUCGUCCCUAUAACCCCCUUCUGCUGACGAGCAAGUGGUCCUGCAGCUGAUCGCUCGGCGUAGAAUUUUGGCUGACGGUUCCAUCCGAAUGGAAUAUCGGUGGGCUGGUCCUAAUUUUUAUUAAAUUUAUAAUAUAAAAUGGGUGAAUAUACUGCACGACAUUAUAUGGAGAUGGUAAUGUUGUACGGCGAACACGGGUAUAAUGCUCACCAAGCAGCUGCCGCAUUUAGGCAGAGGCACCCUGCACUUCGACCAAACCAUAAUACCAUUCUCAGAGUCAUCCAACGAGGAAAUGAGAAUGGUAAUUUGGUUCCUGAUAAUAGAAACAGGGCGGGUGCACCUAGGAGGGCGAGAAACCCAGCGAAUGAGGAGAGGAUUCUCCAAUAUAUCCAUCAACACCCGACGCA